rnacentral:piRNA from 2 species
UGCUACAGGGAUUGCUGCUCACUGCCAGAGA